UCCUUCUGCUUGUAACUGAAGCCUUGAGUUCCCGGCUUCCUGUGUCGGCUGCCAUACCAUACUGGACUCUAGUCCCUGUGGAGCUGUAAGCGCAGAUGAACUCUUCUGGUCUUAUUCCAGAGUCUAACAACACAGGAAGCAACAGAUCCUAAGUCAGCCACUUUGAUAAAUAAAGAUGCAGAUGACACUCUCAGCCGCCAUCAAGCGUGGCCAACCAGGCGACGGGUGCUUGGGUAGCACAGAGAUGGUGUAGUAUCUCCUCCCUAAACCUAAAUUCACUUUAAAGACUUUUCUCUAUUUGAGAAUAUGUCAUCUCCAAUUUUAGCAUCUCCAAUUUAAAAUGCCCUUUCUUUUAUGUAAUUAUGGAGACAGGUGGUGGAUUGAAAAACAUUUUUUUAUUUGACAAAAAACUGCCACUUUUUGCUGGUCCAAUUUUGCUAAUUUUCUUCUCAUUAUUUACUCUCUAUCUUUUGAGUAUAGAGGGAAUCGAAGCCUGCAUCCCUCGAACCCUGGUCUCAUUUCUGGCUGGCUGACGGUGGAUGGAAGCGCUGACCGCCAUGUCAGCACAGGAUGCCCUUAAAAGUCAAGAGAGAAGCCAUGCACGCAGAGUUCAUGUCUGUGCAGAACUCCCGUGGUUCUGUAGUAAUGGCAGCAGAGGGAGUACAGGGCGGGUUAAAUCAGGAAGAGAGAGGACCUGGGAGAACUUCAAACAGCCCAACACAUUGUGAUGGAGCAGGGAAACCCUCAGGGAAGUGACGACGGGGAGCCAGGAAGAGGGCAUGGAGGAGCCAACGGGAGAGCACGUUUCAGAGUGUCUGAGGUGGUGCCAGCAGUCUCAGGCACAGAGGGCUAGAGUUCCCGAACCACCAUCACACAGACCAUAAAGCAAUGCCAUCCCCAAGUCUGGAGAGCUCUGAAGUACUUGGAACGCUUAGGGAUCCAUACCAGGCACGUGGGAUGUCCAUGAGAAUCUUGUUUUCCUCUCAGAGUCCCAGAGGAAGCAAACAGAGCAAAGCAAACGGAGAUGCGCCUCUGGGAAAAGACAGCUCCCCGAGAAGCCGGCCACAGACACAGGCGCCACAGGGUCGCUUAGCCACGCAAUGUUGGUUUUUUUUCCUAAACCAUGAUAGAUAAGAGGUGUUGAAAUCUUCUUUCCACUUAAUCUCUUUAGUGCAAAUAUUUCCUUCAAAUCCAAUCCAGUCAGGGUCUGGCCUGGAGGAAGCCAGGUACAGUCUUGUUACCUACUUCUCUAAGCUGUCUUGUCUGCGUCCUGCCAUGCACCCCGACGCUGGAUGGGUGUUUCUGGGGGCUCGGGGGCUCCCCCAGGGAAGAUGCCUUCCCAAGAGGGAGGUGAAUAAGCCUGGGGCCCAACCUCUUUAAUUUGAAAUUCUUUGAGGCUGCUUUUGUUUGUUUGCUACCUUCUGCUCAGAGGAGGGUGGAGGACUUCUGAUUGGGUGGGUGAAGAAGGGAGGACUCUAGAUUCUGCUCCUCUGGCCUCCUCGCUCAAUCUUCAUGCUCGCACUGUCACACCAGUACACUGCCGCCCUGAAGGCGUUCCAGAGUGGCCCUCAUUUGUCCUGUUCCAUGUCUGCCUCUCUCUCUCUCCUCAGCGCCUGGGUGGGGAAGCCACCCUGCCAAGUCCCCUGUCAGCGGGAAUCCUUCUGAAUCUGCCAAGUUAAGGGACUGUUCCUUCCUCCUCCAGAGUCUAAGGGUCAGUAUUGUUGCCUGUGGCAAUAAUAAUAAUGUAAAAAAACACUGUAAAAUAAUACUUUAAGACCUUUGUCUACGCUCUGGGCUACUUCCUCUCUUGGAAAUAAAAUGUCUUCCUUUUCUUGCUCUUA